GAUGAACGCUGGCGGCGUGCCUAAUACAUGCAAGUCGAGCGAACAGACGAGGAGCUUGCUCCUCUGACGUUAGCGGCGGACGGGUGAGUAACACGUGGAUAACCUACCUAUAAGACUGGGAUAACUUCAGGAAACCGGAGCUAAUACCGGAUAAUAUAUUGAACCGCAUGGUUCAAUAGUGAAAGACGGUUUUGCUGUCACUUAUAGAUGGAUCCGCGCCGCAUUAGCUAGUUGGUAAGGUAAUGGCUUACCAAGGCAACGAUGCGUAGCCGACCUGAGAGGGUGAUCGGCCACACUGGAACUGAGACACGGUCCAGACUCCUACGGGAGGCAGCAGUAGGGAAUCUUCCGCAAUGGGCGAAAGCCUGACGGAGCAACGCCGCGUGAGUGAUGAAGGUCUUCGGAUCGUAAAACUCUGUUAUUAGGGAAGAACAAAUGUGUAAGUAACUAUGCACGUCUUGACGGUACCUAAUCAGAAAGCCACGGCUAACUACGUG
rnacentral:rRNA from 1 species